UAGGGAAUCUUCGGCAAUGGACGAAAGUCUGACCGAGCAACGCCGCGUGAGUGAAGAAGGUUUUCGGAUCGUAAAACUCUGUUGUUAGAGAAGAACAAUGACGUUAUUAACUGAACGUCCCCUGACGGUAUCUAACCAGAAAGCCACGGCUAACUACGUGCCAGCAGCCGCGGUAAUACGUAGGUGGCAAGCGUUGUCUGGAUUUAUUGGGCGUAAAGCGAGCGCAGGCGGUUUCUUAAGUCUGAUGUGAAAGCCCCCGGCUCAACCGGGGAGGGUCAUUGGAAACUGGGAGACUUGAGUGCGGAAGAGGAGAGUGGAAUUCCAUGUGUAGCGGUGAAAUGCGUAGAUAUAUGGAGGAACACCAGUGGCGAAGGCGGCUCUCUGGUCUGUAACUGACGCUGAGGCUCGAAAGCGUGGGGAGCAAACAGG
rnacentral:rRNA from 1 species